rnacentral:rRNA from 1 species
CUUAAAUUGAAGAGUUUGAUCAUGGCUCAGAUUGAACGCUGGCGGCAGGCCUAACACAUGCAAGUCGAGCGGAAACGACACUAACAAUCCUUCGGGUGCGUUAAUGGGCGUCGAG